AAACAACGUUGCCACACGCGGAGAGCACGGAGAUUUCUGGGGCUUUGGAGGGAAUCGUGAGCGGGCGGGAGGAGGCCGGGGACCACACAGAACUGAGAUCCAGAGAGAUGAUGACUUUGCCCAUAGACCAAACAAAGAAAUACAUGUUUCAGUCCUGUGUCCUCCUGCUAUGUGUGUCCGGAAUUGGUGGGUUCUUGGUCUCACUGACUUCAAGAAUGAAGCUGCGGACCCUCGCGGACCGUGUGUGAAUGCCUGCUCUGUGAGCCCUCAGAAUCUACUGGCCAAAUGAGUGCGUGGAGGAAAUGUGCUCAGAGCUGCUGUGUGUCAUCCUGUGUUUGAAGUGCUCCUGCAGCUAUCAUUCAUCCAGUUAAGAAUUUGAAGAAGUGUGUGCACAAAGGAUGUACCAGACUAUUAAUAUUGGUGACCAUGGGCUAGGGAGUAUGUUCUUGAUAAAUUUACAAAAUCUUCUGAUCAACUAUAGACUUUAAAAAUAUAACAAAUCAAUUUUUUAAUAAAAUACUCCCUCUCUGUCUCUCUCUCUGUCUCUCUCUCUCUCUCUCUCCAUAUAU
rnacentral:antisense_RNA from 1 species